rnacentral:rRNA from 1 species
AAACUAUGUACACCCAAGUUGAGAGGUGGUUUAGGAUUCCGGGAUUCACAUUGCUUCAAUCUUGCCUUGCUAUCCAAACAAGUAUGGCGUCUAUUAUACAAUCCAGAAUCAUUAUGUGCAAAAGUUUUGAGAGCAACAUAUUAUCCAGAUGAUAAAUUGAUGAAUGCAAGAAUGAAGAGUGGUGCCUCGUUCACAUGGCAAAGCAUCCUUGCAGGUCUCCAAACUUUCAAUAGGUGUGUAUUUGGCACGUUGGAGACGGAAGCCAAAUAA